CAGAGNCUCCCUCCGUCCCAAAAUUCUUGUCUUAGAUUUGUCUAGAUACGGAUGUAUCAAGUCACAUUUUAGUAUUAGAUACAUCUGUAUCUAGACAAAUCUAAGACAAGAAAUUUGGGACAGAGGGAGUAGUUA
rnacentral:pre_miRNA from 1 species